AUACGGAGGGUGCAAGCGUUGUUCGGAAUCACUGGGCGUAAAGGGCGCGCAGGCGGCCUGAUCAGUCAGAUGUGAAAGCCCACGGCUUAACUGUGGAAGUGCAUUUGAAACUGUCAGGCUUGAGUACCAGAGGGGAAAGUGGAAUUCCCGGUGUAGAGGUGAAAUUCGUAGAUAUCGGGAGGAAUACCGGUGGCGAACGGCGACUUUCUGGCUGGAUACUGACGCUGGAGGCGCGAAAGCGUGGGGAGC
rnacentral:rRNA from 1 species